GAUGAACGCUGGCGGCGUGCCUAAUACAUGCAAGUCGAGCGAACAGACGAGGAGCUUGCUCCUCUGACGUUAGCGGCGGACGGGUGAGUAACACGUGGAUAACCUACCUAUAAGACUGGGAUAACUUCGGGAAACCGGAGCUAAUACCGGAUAAUAUAUUGAACCGCAUGGUUCAAUAGUGAAAGACGGUUUUGCUGUCACUUAUAGAUGGAUCCGCGCCGCAUUAGCUAGUUGGUAAGGUAACGGCUUACCAAGGCAACGAUGCGUAGCCGACCUGAGAGGGUGAUCGGCCACACUGGAACUGAGACACGGUCCAGACUUCUACGGGAGGCAGCAGUAGGGAAUCUUCCGCAAUGGGCGAAAGCCUGACGGAGCAACGCCGCGUGAGUGAUGAAGGUCUUCGGAUCGUAAAACUCUGUUAUUAGGGAAGAACAAAUGUGUAAGUAACUAUGCACGUCUUGACGGUACCUAAUCAGAAAGCCACGGCUAACUACGUG
rnacentral:rRNA from 1 species